rnacentral:rRNA from 1 species
UACGGGGGGGGCAAGCGUUGUUCGGAAUUACUGGGCGUAAAGCGCGUGUAGGCGGCUGGUCAAGCGUGGUGUGAAAUCUCCGGGCUCAACCCGGAAACUGCAUUGCGAACUGACCUGGCUGGAGUGCAGGAGAGGGCAGCGGAAUUCCCGGUGUAGCGGUGAAAUGCGUAGAUAUCUGGAGGAACACCGGUGGCGAAGGCGGCGUCCUGGACCAACACUGACACUGAUGAGCGAAAGCCAGGGGAGCAAACGGG